UACGUAGGUGGCAAGCGUUGUCCGGAUUCAUUGGGCGUAAAGAGCGCGCAGGCGGCUUGGUAAGUCGGAUGUGAAAACCCGGAGCUCAACUCCGGGCGUGCAUCCGAUACUGCCCGGCUAGAGGUAGGUAGGGGAGAUCGGAAUUCCUGGUGUAGCGGUGGAAUGCGCAGAUAUCAGGAGGAACACCGGUGGCGAAGGCGGAUCUCUGGGCCUUACCUGACGCUCAGGCGCGAAAGCUAGGGGAGCGAACAGG
rnacentral:rRNA from 1 species